rnacentral:rRNA from 1 species
UACGUAGGGUCCGAGCGUUGUCCGGAAUUAUUGGGCGUAAAGAGCUCGUAGGCGGUUUGUCGCGUCUGCUGUGAAAUCCCGAGGCUCAACCUCGGGUCUGCAGUGGGUACGGGCAGACUGGAGUGCGGUAGGGGAGAAUGGAAUUCCUGGUGUAGCGGUGGAAUGCGCAGAUAUCAGGAGGAACACCGAUGGCGAAGGCAGUUCUCUGGGCCGUUACUGACGCUGAGGAGCGAAAGCGUGGGGAGCGAACAGG